GGGAGAGAGGGUGGUGUGGACCCGGGAACGGGCGGCGUGGACCUGCAACAAGCGGGUCGCAGGCGGUGUGGACGGGGAGUGAGAAAGGCCGCGCGGACAGGGGACGGGACAGCGGGUGGUGUGGACCCGGGAGCGGGCGGCGUGGACCUACAGCAAGCCAGUCGCAGGUGGUGUGGACGGGGAGUGAGAAAAGCCGUGCGGACAGGGGAUGGGAGAGUGGGUGGUGUGGACCCGGAAGCGGGAGGCAUGAACCUGCAGCAAGCAGGUCGCAGGCGGUGUGGACGGGGAGCAAGGCUGUGUGGAUGGGAGAGCGGGUGCUGGGGACCCGGGAGCGGGCAGCAUGGACAGUAGAGUGGUGAGGGUGGGUGGUUGGGAGAGCAGAGGGCAAGGGCAGUGUAGACGGGGUGGGAGAGUGACCGGUGUGGAACCGGGAGCGGGUGAUGUGGAUCAGAUAGUGGAAGGGCGGGUGGUGUGGACAGGAGAGCAGCGGGCUGCAGAUCCUGACCGGCCUGGGAGCCGCGGGGCUGGCUCUGCCGCCCCAUCCUCAUGUGCCCCAUCCUGGACCUCGAGGCUUGUCCAGUCCCGAGACCCUGGCAGCCGAGGCCCCAGCGGCCCCAGGGCCCUGUAAGUCUCUUCUGGGGGCCGCUGGAGCCCUAUGUUCCCUUGCAAGUGGGGGCGGGGGGUGGUCACAUUUUUUCUUCGCAAGCAGAGCAGGCUGAGGCUUGCUGCCAGGUCCUGGGUGCUUCCGAACGCAGGGGAUGGGGUGCUGCCUUCCUCUUAGUCCUCUGGGAACACGCACAGGUGACUUAGCCGCCCGGAGAGGCUCGGCAGCAGAUAGGGGCGGGCAUCUGGACCCAUCCGGGCAGGUGGGCUCCUGAAAUCCACACCUGGACCAGAGCGAGGCUGCCAUGUGGAAAGUUCCAGAAAAGCAUUGCCCUGGUUAGGGCGGCUCUGAAGGCCAGGCUGCUCCCUGGAGGUGUCUCUGCCCCGCCCACACCCCAGGUCCUGGUGGCCUGUGUGGCCUCUUGACCCCCUGCGUCAAAUGUACCUGAGCCCACAAACCUACAAAUAGAAGGGGCUGGAGGGGUCCUUUAGUCUGGGGGGCAGGGCCAGAGAACUGUUCUCUUUGUUCUGCGGUUCUGUUUUCUUUCCUAAGGUUCUCCAGCUGCAUCUUUUCAGCAUUCAGGCAGAAAGCUCCCCCACUAAAGUCCAAGAGGGGAUGCACUGACAGGAAGUGAUUGGAAAUUGAUGUCAGAAAGGACUCAUUUCCUUCCUACAGAGGAAGCUCCUAGGAAUCAAGAGGAAAAAGAUAGAGAACCGCAUAGAAAAUGGAAAGUCCCCAGUAAGGGAAAGACAAGGGCUUUUAAGCAUAAGCAAAGCUACUCAGCUAUAUAUGGUCAUGAGAGAAAAAGCAAAAUUGCAGUGCAAUCGUCUUUACCUGCUACAUUAGCAAAGUUUUUUUUUUCUUUAAGCUUAAUAGCAUUAUAUUGAAGAUUGUAGAAAAUAAGCUGUUUCAUCCUUUCCUGGUGGGAGAAUAAUUGAGGAUAGCCCUCAUCCGGGCCAUUUGUUAAUAUAGAAAUUCUAAACGCAUAGGGCCUGGGGCCCGGCAGUCCCACGAUCGGGACUUUAUUCUACAGUCAGACUUACUUGUACGGAUUGGCGUGUGUCUAAGGUCAGUAAUAAGGACCAUCAAAAGGGCUCCGCCAUAAGUUUGAAGGUUGAGCAGGUGCAGAGGGGCAAGCCGCCCUCCCCAGAGCGACUUCCCAGCGGCACUUGCGGUAGGUCUGCUCCACGAUCUCCUAUGGUCUUGAUCACCUCACCUUUACCCCGUUCAUACCCCACCCAGCUGGGGGACCCCAGUCUCCCUCCAGACUUCUGUCCCUCACACACGUCCUCGAGAUCUUUUGCACAGAUCCUCUACCUUGCAGUGCUUUCCUAAGGUUUUCCACCCGCAUCUUUUCAGCAUUCAGGUCUCUGCUCAAUCCCCAAGAGCCCCAGACUGACUCCUACAGCUAAUGUGCACCCCUCACCUACCUCCCACACACCCCCCUCCGCCCCCGCCAGUGACCACUCACAAUUCUCAAAGGUGGCUGGUUCUCUGGGCCUCUGCACACCAGAGGUACUGGCACGCGUGAACAAAAGCAGAUUGUUUGCAGAAAAAAAUUGGCAGGUUAAACCAAGAGUGAAAACCUGUAAAAGUGGAAGACCUGAGGCCACCUAACGCCAUUUCUCAUCAUACGUGCAGCACAGGGCUGGGAUUCAUAUUCACGAUGCUCAUAGCAUCUUCAAAAGAAUUCCCAAUGUGUUUAAUAUAUUCCUUCUAUGAAGGCUGGAAAUAACUUGUCUUAAGGCAGAUUUGUAUCCAAAAUUUUAUUUUUUAAUUUUUUUAUUAGUCUCAGAGGUAGAAUAGAGUGAUUCCUCAGUUGCAUACAACACCCAGUGCUCAUUGUAUCAAGUGCCCUCCUUCAUGCCCAUCACCCAGUUACUCACCGCCCCCGCCCCCACAGCGACCCUGUUUGUUUCCUAGAGUUCAGCGUCUCUUAUGGUGUGUCUUCCUCUCAAUUUUCACCUAAUUUUCCCUCCCUUCCUCUAUGUUCAUGUUUUCUUUCUUAAAUCCCACAUAUGAGUGAAAUCAUAUGGUUUUUGUCUUACCCAAACUUUUAAAGAUUUUUUUUAAAGAGUGUUAUUUCUGAAAGUGUCCAAUUUUUAUUAUCAACCAAAGCAAUGUAGAAACCUUGCCUGAACCCCAAGCAGAAAAAGAAAAAGAAGAAAAACCUAUAAAAGAUGUUCUUGGGCAGUGGGGGAGAUCUGAAUGGGGCCUCUGACACUGGAUAGUAGUUUCGCAUCUACGUCCUGCUUCCCAAGCACGAUAACCAUUGAGGAUGUGAUGUGAAGAGGCCAUCCUCCUUAGGAAACGCAUUCUGAAGAAUUCUGGGUGACACACGAGGUCUCCAAACAACAACGAAUCAAUUGAUCAAUGGAUGGUGCGUAGACCCUAACAGACGUGAGUGGCUCACCGGAGAAUCCAUCUCGGCCUCUGAGAGGUAGGGAGGAAGGAGCAAAAGUCCCCUCGCACAUCGGAGGUUGCUGCCCUCAAACAGCUUGUGAACUCCAGCUAAACCACAGCGAGCCCGUCUGCAAAAUCUCCAUCACUACUUUUGUUCUUACCAACGUAAAGUACACCUAACACAGACCUUGCCGUCCUAACCAUCUCGGAACACACGGUCACGGGGAGUACGUUCCCGUUGCCCGGCAACCACGCGGACCCUCAGUGAAGCUAAAAAUAAACCCGAAUCUGGGGAAUAGAUUUCCUGCAUUGGCUGCAGCAUUUCCAACCAGCGAAACCCCAGGAGGACCGUAACCACGCGGGCAGUCUUGGGGACCCGUGCAAACUCCCUGCUGGGACGCAAGGUGCAGGUGGGUGGUUCUGGAGCCAAAACGAGCCUCGGUUUAAAAACGAGAGCGCGCUCCCUUGAUCCCCAGGGUAGAACUGUUGCUGGAGCACAUCUACCCUCUGGCACCCGUAACACAUCAUCGUCUGAGGUUCCGACAACAUCUCGUGGAGAUGCAGUGUCCAAAUCGCUCAGAAAACACUGGAAGGGGGAAGCAAGUUUGAAAACACUGCCAGAUACGCCCCUUUAUAAAUUCUCGGUCUGGGGCAGCCCCGAUGGCCCAGCGAUUUGGCACCUGCCUUCAGCCCAGGGCGUGAUCCUGGAGACCCGGGAUCGAGUCCUGUGUUGGGCUCCCUGCAAGGAGCCUGCUUCUCCCUCUGCCUGUGAC